rnacentral:rRNA from 1 species
AAUCAACGCUGGCGGCGUGCCUCAGACAUGCAAGUCGAACGCGAAAGUUCCCUUCGGGGGAUGAGUAGAGUGGCGCACGGGUGAGUAACACGUAGGUAAUCUACCUUUGGAUGGGGAAUAACAAUCGGAAACGGUUGCUAAUACCGCAUAAUGCAGCGGCACCUAAUGGUGACAGUUGUUAAAGCGGGGGAUCGAAAGACCUCGCGUCUGAAGAGGAGCCUGCGGCGGAUAGCUAGUUGGUAGGGUAACGGCCUACCAAGGCGACGAUCCGUAGCCGGCCUGAGAGGGCGGUCGGCCACACUGACACUGACAUACGGGUCAGACUCCUACGGGAGGCAGCAGUCGGGAAUUUUGGGCAAUGGGCGAAAGCCUGACCCAGCAACGCCGCGUGAAGGAUGAAAUCCCUCGGGA